rnacentral:tRNA from 1 species
UCAAAGAAUAGUUUUAAAAAAAUAAUAAUUUUGGAGAUUAUAGAUAAAGAAAUUUCUUUUUCUUUGA